GACUUAGAAUCACCAUUUAAAUGUAUCUGUAUAUGUUGUGAGGUGUUUUCAAAGAGGUUCAAGUAGCGGGAGAAGGCAGACCCUGAAUGUGAGCAUCAGCAUUUCAUAGACCAGGCUCCCAGGAGAGUAAAAAGAAGAAAGUAUGCAGAACACGAGGCUUUAUCUCUCUCUGCUUCCUGAUUGCCGAAGCCAUGUGACCGGUGACCCCAGCUUGUCAGUCUUCCUGCCACCAUGGGCUGAGACCCAACCUCUGAGCCAUAACAAACUCUUCCUUCCUUAAGUUGUUGUUGUUUUGGUUUUUUUGGGGUUUUUUUUUUUCACAUCAAGAAGGGAGCUAAGUCAUACAAUUAGCAACCAGGGAAAGAAAUCAUGAGUUCCUCUACCAGUGAUUGGUCUUAGAAAUGAACAUAUGACCAGAUCUGGCCAAUGAUAUAUAAGGACAUAUCUUCUAGGAAACUGAGUUCGUUUUCCUUUCUAAUUGGAGGGAAAGUGUUCCUUUUCUUCCAGCUGUGUGUGCAUGCUACGGUGCAGAACAGGGGACAAGGGAAGAGAACCCGAGAAUAAGAACAUGCACAAUAAAAAUGUUGUGACGAGAUUAAUUAUUCUGCUUACUAAAAGUUUUAAUGUAAAUUUCAAGAAGCUCAAGGCCCUGGUGAGCAUGACUCUCUACAUGGUCUCUUCUGCUACACACUAGCGAGCAUCCCACUCCCCCUGCCCUACCUGGUAGAAAUGGCUCUAGUCAUGGGUUGUCACUGUGCGGGAGGCAUGAGUAGGAUGUCCACACAGACUCAGAAGUGGGCGGCCACACACUGGAAUACUCACGCUACAGGCCCAGCCUGGAGUAGACUCGUAAAUACCGUGUCAUCGCUCUUACCUCCAAGGUCUGAUGAUUGUAGUCUUCAGACCCAGUGUCUCUUCCUGAGAUCUGGUAAGUGGACUUUAGGGACGUCCUGGCAAGAGUGAUUGAAACAUCAGAGUGGCUCAGAAACACUGAGCUCUGUCAUUUUCAAGCAUCAGACAAGAUACACCUAGCGCCUAUCAUAAAUAAAAGAUGCUAUUUCCUCAGAACCUUUUGAAAGUAGGCAUCAAAUCACAGAGGCAAGCCUUCCAAACGCCCCGUUGAGUUAACAGCGCCUGCCUGCCUGCCUGCUUCUGCCAUCCUUUUGCAUUUGAAAUCAUCGUCAUUAUUGUCUGCUGCCAGGAUAUCUCCACCCCACACUGGAUUAGAGUCAGUGCUUCUGACAAAUGAGCCUCCUGUUGUCUACUGAGGGCUACAUUUGAAAUGUUACCUAUGCUUUCUUUUUUUCUUUUGACAUAGUAGAUACAUAUAAAUUUAGAAACCAAAAGAACACUUUCAUUUAUAUUCUGCGACAUCUGUGGGGGAGGCAAGAAGAAGCUUUUUGAUAUGUUUUGUGCUUUUAGGUUUAGCCCCCCCCCUUCUUCUUUGCAAAUAGGAUGGAAUGUAGUAUUUACCAGCUGCAGCAUAUUCUCUAGGUUGGAGAUAUCCGUUAAGCGGCCAGUAGGCCAGCCUUCAAUUCUUUCCCUCCUCAGAGUGAACCAAUUAGGAAAUUGUCAAAGCCAAGACUUCCCAAGACUAUCAGUCAAAAUUGUUAGGGGUGCCUGUGGUGGGUCUAUUCUGUUCUCCCAGGUGCUGUUUGUCUGUCCCGUACUCCUGGGUAUCCUGAAAAGUAGAACCCUGCCUUAUUUAUCUGUAUGUACCCCACCCCAAACCAGAAAAUGUAUGUAUUUAUAGAUUAUUUAUAUAGUGUAGUGAGUGUCGUGGACAGUGGGGCGACCCUAAGUAUGAUGGAUAAUCUGGCAUGUCCACUUAACUGAAUUGAAGGAUGCCCAGGGAGCUGGGAAAGUACACUUCAGCAAGGGACAGAGAAUGCUUCCAGAGAAGACCGGCAUGUGGGUCUUAAUCUACAAGAUCACAGAUCACACUAAGUGGAGAAGAUGCCUCCUGAAUUUGGGUGGGGCACCACUCUGUUUGCAGGGUUGGGGAGGGGUUGACCUGAUAGACCAGAACAAUGGAAGGAGACUCUGUCUCUUUAUGCCCCCUUCCUUCCUUCCUUCCUUCCUUCCUUCCUUCCUUCCUUCCUUCCUUUCUUCCUUCCUUCUUUCCUUCCCUGCCUCCCUGCCUCCCUUUGGCUCUCCCUUUAAGAGCAGGCAUGGUUCUCAUGUUGCUGCCCUUACACCAGGUUCCUGAGCCUUUGGCCUUACACUGGGGACCACAUCUCUAUGGUUCUGAGAUCUACUGUUUCUGAGACCAGCAGCCUGUGGAAGAUGGCUCCUCAUGGGAUUUCUCAACAUUUAUCAGGUGUAAAAACCCAAUACCUGCCCCCCAUAUAAUACACAUCUAUCUCCCACUGGCUAUGUUUCUCUGAAGAACCCUGACUCCUGCUGAGGGCUCUGCAUAUUAUUUUCUUAAAUAUUCUCUAUGCAUUUUACACGAUCUCUACUUUGUGAAUUUUGCCUUCUAAGCAAUUACCUUGCCCAGUGUGCUGGUGGAUUCCCCCCAGGUACUGCAUGAACUCAUGACAGGUCAGGUAAGGCAACUGUCUGCCCGGAAAACAACUGGGUCUCUGCAGUACUGCGCUCUAGAACCUCAACCUCCCAACUCUCAGCCUUUAAUAUUUUUAAAAAUUUAUUUACCUUUAUUUUAUGUGCAUUGGUGUUUUGCCAGAAUAUAUGUCUAUGUGAGAGUGUCAGAUCUUGGUGUUAUAGACAGUUGUGAGCUGCCGAGUGGAUGCUAAGAUUUGAACAGGGGUCUCCUGGAAGAGCAGCCAGUGCUCUU
rnacentral:lncRNA from 1 species